UUGACCUCGGAUCAGGUAGGGAUAUCCCGCUGAACUUAAGCAUUUAAAA
rnacentral:rRNA from 1 species